UCGAUCUCUCCUCCCCACCAAUAACCGGUGUGUGGUGGGCGUUCUGGCGCGAUAUCGCCGACGUCGCAUCAUCCAGGUGGACGCUACACACUAGUGGUGGUUGAGGAGAUCCCCUCUACAUUAUCUAAAGCGCUUUGAGUGUAACUAAUCUUCUAGUGCACUCACGGAGAAAUCAUUAACACUAAUCAUACAAAGAUUUCAUCAGACUGUUAGAAGAUAAUGUCCAGCGACAUGCCACAUCAGAUACUGUUUAAGCUACCAAAGGUCAGCGUGGCUCAAAAACAUGCCCCUUACAAAAAUCCUGCUCAGAUGAAAGCACUAUGACCUUCUCAGUGGAUUUUCAUUGAAAACCUGCUCUGUCGUGUUUAUCAUGAAGGACUGUCAAGCUCGUGUGCUGCUCUAUAGGUAAAGUUACAUCUAACGAUGUGGAACGUCCAGGGAACAAGUUAUUUCCUGUUCUCGCUUACGUUAUAGCAGCUAUAAACAGGCAGAGAGGUUCUGGAGCCGGAGCUCUGUGUGGUCAUGGUGAGCACUGUAGUGAUGCCCAGAGCUACGCGAGCAGGAGCGGCAUCCAUGUUGAUCCAGAAGGACACCCAGGAGAGGAUGACGAUGAGCAGACUUGGGAUGUACAUCUGGAUCAGGGCAGUGGUGGCUCAGCGGUUAAGGCAUGGCGUUAAUGAGCGGAAGGUCGUGAGUUUAAGUCCCAGCACCAGCAUGCUGUCAUGGAUGGGCUAUUUUGCAAGGCCCUUAACCUUCGACUGCUCGGUCGUAUAAAUGUAAAAGGUCAGACGAGCCUCACAGAAAUGUGUAUUAGGAGUAUAAAGGCUCAGCGGUGGAGAACACAAAAGCCAGCAGUGUGUAGCAGUGUAUCGGAGUGUGUAGCAGUGUGUAGCAGAGCACACUUCACCACAUUGCUCUGGCCUCGAUGUGGCUCACUUUAAUGGAAAAGGCUUUCGCUCAGAAGCGAGAGCGUCGACAUGGAAGUCUUCUCCUCGGGAUAGACAGGCUGGGAGUAGUUACGGACGAUGACGUUCAAUGAGGACACGCUAUAGCUUGUUAAUUAUGAAAAAGUAGAAAGGUCAAACUCAGACAUUCCCAGAAAUCCUGCCAAGUUCCAGAUCACAGCUUCUGUGUUGUAUUCGCUAACGAAUGAAUGAAUGAAUGAAUGAAUGAAUGAAUGAAUUAGCCUAAACUGUUAUUUGUGCUUGUUGUCAUGGUUACAUUGAACAUGGCUACACUUUAUUAGAUGAUUUUUUUUCUCUUUAGAACGAGUGAAUCUACACUAGGUAAUAAUGGACAUGUGGCAUCCAAGUGGAAACUUGGGCACGAUAUAAAAUAUGUCAUGUUAUAAAUGUUUUCAUAAAGUAUCUGUCAUAAAAUUGAGCAAAGGUUAUGCUAACUGGAGAACAAUUAGCAAACAAGCAUCCUGUGACAAGCUUCUCGGUAAUGCUAAUAUUACAUUCUAUUAUUUAUGCCAUUUAUGACAGGGUUAUGCUAAUUCUAUGAUGCAAGCUUCACGUACAUUGGCACAGAGUUUGUAAAUCUAGUCCUGUCCCUUUAAAGCUCAAACCCGAGCCGGACGGCAAAGGACAACUGAGCGCACUGAAACCGACUUGAUUGGCUGGGACUCCCUGCCAUCGUUUCAAUACUUUUGUCUCAGUGCUAGUUUAAAAUUGACGAGCGUGAAAAAAGAUCCAUAAAAAGACCCGACUCUAUUAGCUUAUGCAGGCUUCAUUAAUCCUAAUGAGCCAUUUCUGCUUUACACGUUCUCUAAGGAGGAGCAGGAAACUCUCACUCUGGGGGAACGACUGUGGUGUGGGAAGGAUUACAGAAGUUACACAUACACGUAGUGUGGAGUUCUGAUCACCAGCUGCAGAACCCUGAAUAUCAGGGAGCGUUAACAUGCCUUAAAUUCUGUUCGCCUUAAACGCAAAUUCACACCAGGAUAAAUAUCUUUGAAACCAUAGAGAGCCGUAGAGAAGAGAACGGUUUUUGAACAUAAUGAAAUAGACAAUAACGCGAAAUGAAUUUGACCUGUUAGCUAGGCAGAGCUGCGACAAGGCUAUGAUGUUACCUGUUAAAAUGCUCAAGACAUUAAAAUAUGAAAAUGUUAUUUUUAAAUGUUAAAAGGUUCAAUUGGGCUUAAAGGUUAAAACAUUUUAAAAGCAUUGAGUGGUUGCUAGGCUGCUGCUAUGGUACUGUAGUUAGGUGCGAGGCUGUUGCUGUGGUAUCCCAGAUGAAAUCCCACGUAGCAACCGUAAUUCCGAUCUUUUCCAAAAGCACAAGUGCCCCAUUCCUGUUAAAGCUGCAAGCAGCAUAUUUCGGGGGGCCAAGCACCCAGACUCGGUGAGCCUCACAUUCAUAGAUGCUCUACAGUUGUUGCAUAACUCACAGGAAAGCAGAGCCAUAACUAUAGGCAAAGAGAUUCGAGAUGAUUUGCAGUUUCACACAUUUGCCGUUAUGUCCGUUAUGGGAGAAUGAUUUUGAAUAUCAGAGUUCUGAAGAUGACGUGUGCCAAAUUUUGUGAUGAUUGGACAACAGUUGUAAGAGGAGUAGCGAAACAACAGUUCUUGAAAAUAUCCAAGAUGACGUAAAAUCUGAUUAGGCAGAAAUUGACGUCACAAUGUGCGCUGAACUCGUCUCGGCCCAGGGAAUCCAGGGUCUUUCAAUUUUGGACACACGGUUCAAAAGUUAUGACUAUAAACGUACUUCCAAAUUAGGCCCCAAUUUGACACAUGGUGUUUGAUGGUAGCUCGAGACUGUUGGCAGCACUUGGCCCAAAUUUGGUCGGAAUGUUCCUUAGACCCACCCCAAUCAGUGUGCUAAAUUUCACAACUUUUCACCAGACGGUUCUAUGGGCUGCCAUAGACAGCCUAGCCAGAAGAAGAAGAAGAUGAAGAAGAAGAAGACUAAUAAUAGAAGAAUAACAAUUGGGUGCUUACGCACCUUCGGUGUACCUUCUGUGAAUUUCAUUUCUUUUUCAAAUUGGGUUUUAUGGCUCAAGCUGCUCCAUACAGACCUGACAGCUUCAGUACUUUACUCUGCUAGCUAGUUAUAUAUCUAUAGAUAACACUGUACAGAUAAUUGAGGGUGUAAAUCUAAGAGAGAGAAAAAAAACAAAAACGUUUCAAUUAUAGGGUUCCUGUUGCCAAGGUCGAGUGUGCUCCUCAGGAAAACUUUGACCCUUUAGCUGGAUGUGGUCACUUAUGUCACACAGAAAUAUUUCACAUUUCCAAGGACUAUUGGGACGCAGUGCAAAUUGGAAAAUAAAUAUUAAUUAUUACUGGGGUCUUGUUGCUUGCUAACAAAAUUUACAGUAAAUUUACAGUAGGUUCAAUUACAAUGAAAGUAGUAAUACAAUAAAUAUCUCAUACUUUAUGAAAUCCUCAGUCCAACUAUUUUUAUAUUAUUAAGUCUUACUGCUAAUAUAAUUUUACUCAGUUAUGACUUGAAACUAAGAUGAUAAUAAUAAUAAUAAUAAUAAUAAUAAUAAUAAUAAUAAUAAUAAUAAUAAUAAUAAUAAUAAUAAUUACGGUAUUCCAUUCCAAAUUAUUGCAAAAUUAUAUCCAAAAGUCUGAGAGCAUUUUUAUACUUUAAUACAACAAUUUCCAUUGCAAAUGAUAUUACGGACCACGACUUCAGUGAAAAGUAGAAUCUUAGAAAUAUUGACACGAAUGUCAGAGUAUCUUAGUAUUUGUUUUAUGCACCUUUUUUGCUUUAAUGACAGUGUGAAUUCGAGCAGGCAUGGACUCCACACGUUUGUGCAAAACCUCACGAUCCGUUUAAUAUCAAAUCCAUCCGAGUGUCGUCUGAUCACCCGCUUCAACAGCAGAGAUUAGACAUGAGGAAAAUCUGACCUUUUGUACGAAGCAGUUAACGUUACACAUUUGCUUCUGAAUAAAUAGCCCUAGAAAUAGUGCAGAAUCUUGAAUAUUAAAUAUUCAAGACAUUGGACGUUUUUCUUUCUUUGUUUUAAAUAUUUCAAAAUCCUAAAACCUUCUGUUCAUUACCAGUUUUAAAAGAAAAAAACAUCCCAGAUUUUCAUUGUGGUCGCAGACUGUUGGACCCCACUGUAUAUAUAUAUAUAUAUAUAUAUAUAUAUA